UGGGGAAUUUUGCACAAUGGGGGCAACCCUGAUGCAGCGACGCCGCGUGAUUUAGAAGGCCUUCGGGUUGUAAAAAUCUUUUGUAUAGGAAGAAAAUGACAGUACUAUACGAAUAAGGUCCGGCUAAUUACGUGCCAGCAGCCGCGGUAAUACGUAAGGACCGAGCGUUGUCCGGAAUCAUUGGGCGUAAGGGGACGUAGGCGGUUAAAAAAGUUAGAAGUGAAAGGCUAUAGCUCAACUAUAGUAAGCUUUUAAAACUGUUUAACUUGAGAGAUGGAAGGGAAAGUGGAAUUCCUAGUGUAGCGGUGAAAUGCGCAGAUAUUAGGAGGAAUACCGGUGGCGAAGGCGACUUUCUGGCCAUUAUCUGACGCUGAGGUACGAAAGCGUGGGUAGCAAACAGG
rnacentral:rRNA from 1 species